UGAACGCUGGCGGCGUGCCUAAUACAUGCAAGUCGAGCGAACGGACGAGAAGCUUGCUUCUCUGAUGUUAGCGGCGGACGGGUGAGUAACACGUGGAUAACCUACCUAUGAGACUGGGAUAACUUCGGGAAACCGGAGCUAAUACCGGAUGAUAUUUUGAACCGCAUGGUUCAAAAGUGAAAGACGGUCUUGCUGUCACUUAUAGAUGGAUCCGCGCUGCAUUAGCUAGUUGGUAAGGUAACGGCUUACCAAGGCAACGAUGCAUAGCCGACCUGAGAGGGUGAUCGGCCACACUGGAACUGAGACACGGUCCAGACUCCUACGGGAGGCAGCAGUAGGGAAUCUUCCGCAAUGGGCGAAAGCCUGACGGAGCAACGCCGCGUGAGUGAUGAAGGUCUUCGGAUCGUAAAACUCUGUUAUUAGGGAAGAACAUAUGUGUAAGUAACUGUGCACAUCUUGACGGUACCUAAUCAGAAAGCCACGACUAACUACGUG
rnacentral:rRNA from 1 species